UGUUGGGAGAGGAAAAAUGAAUUGCCCACUGGCAGGCAGGUAAGAGGCACAGCUGAAACUCUCACCUAGUUCUUCUGACUCCAAGCCCAUCAUCUCAGGAUUGUACCCAAGUGGCUCUUGCACCAGUAUCAGCGCCAAUGGCAGGGUCAGCAGAAAAUAGCAGAGGGGCCUGAAAACAGAUGGGAACAUCUGGAAAAGCAGUGGGGAGCUGUUGAGAGCAUUUUGAGUGGGGCAGUGACACUGCUGGCUCUGCAUUUUGGAAAGGUGGUUUUCAGAGCAGUUUGGAUGAUGCUGGGGAGUAGCUGACAGGUUGAAGAUCAGUCCUGAGGAGCAGGCUGAGGAAACCGGCUUGCCUGCAGGCUGGUCGUUCCAGGGGGUUCCUUUGAAAA
rnacentral:lncRNA from 1 species